AAUCACAAUUAAUGCUGAUUCAUCUUGCAACUGCUAGAAUAUAGGCUAUAGUUCAUGCCAAGGUUUAGCUAAUCAAAGUUUAUAGCAUACACAGUCACUUAUAGCUACAGAGAUAUGGAUGCUAAGAAGAAGAGAAAACUGCCAAAGAAUUUAACUGAAGCAUCAAAACAGGCUAGGGCAUACCUUAUGUCAUCAAGCAAGAUUACUGAAGCUUGUGAAUUGUUCAAGACUAUUGAGCUGCCUGCAUCUUCAAAAGACAUAUCUGAGCAUGAUAUCGCUACGUACCUGGUGGGACGAUAUGGUAUCAACAAGAUAGCACGGAUAUGUUCCGUGCUUUCUGGAUUUCUGAAGACACUAAACACCUUCCAUGUAUCCAAGUACAUAGCAAAAGUCACAGAUAUGGAUGAUGCACACUUGCUAGCCUCUUUCAUUACGAUUCAUUGUCCACACCUAAUAGCCACAUUCACAUCUAACCAUCCAUCACCAACUCUGUUAGCUCCUCCAGUGUGUAACUGCUUUGAAUGCCAACGUCAAUUGACUUCAAAUCAUGACUGUGAAGUCACCCUUUACACAUUAUCUGGUGUGAAGAAAUUGCCGAAAGUCACUCUUAUAGGUGUCAGCCAUGUGGUUUGACUUAUAACUAUGCGAUGUGGGGGAGAAAACAAACCUCUGGCUUUCAAUACUAUCAGAGCCAGCAAAAUUUAAUUGAAGUUUAUGACACCGUUUUCUUCACUCGGCCUCUCCUAGAAUUUCAGUGCUCCCUUGCGAACCACUCAUGGGUUUCCUUCCAGGGUUUUAGUGAAACAUACAAUGACACUCAUUCUCUCAACAAGGACCAAUCCAUGACAGAAAAGAUUGCAGCAGAUGCAUUCUACAAUGGAGAGAUUGAGAAUGAAAUUAGGUUUCUUGUACUAGCAACCAAUCCUACUUUUUCCCUAAGUCAUUUCACCUUCAAACGAGACAGUGACAGAGAGGAAACAAUGGAAAUGAUUGAAACAAUUUGCUCAUGCAGUAUAUACCCUCACUGUGAAACUGACUGCACUGCUGUUUGCAAGAA